rnacentral:rRNA from 1 species
GAUGAACGCUGGCGGCGUGCCUAAUACAUGCAAGUCGAGCGAACGGACGAGAAGCUUGCUUCUCUGAUGUUAGCGGCGGACGGGUGAGUAACACGUGGAUAACCUACCUAUAAGACUGGGAUAACUUCGGGAAACCGGAGCUAAUACCGGAUAAUAUUUUGAACCGCAUGGUUCAAAAGUGAAACACGGUCUUGCUGUCACUUAUAGAUGGAUCCGCGCUGCAUUAGCUAGUUGGUAAGGUAACGGCUUACCAAGGCAACGAUGCAUAGCCGACCUGAGAGGGUGAUCGGCCACACUGGAACUGAGACACGGUCCAGACUCCUACGGGAGGCAGCAGUAGGGAAUCUUCCGCAAUGGGCGAAAGCCUGACGGAGCAACGCCGCGUGAGUGAUGAAGGUCUUCGGAUCGUAAAACUCUGUUAUUAGGGAAGAACAUAUGUGUAAGUAACUGUGCACAUCUUGACGGUACCUAAUCAGAAAGCCACGGCUAACUACGUG